AUUGAACGCUGGCGGCAGGCCUAACACAUGCAAGUCGAGCGGAUGACGGGAGCUUGCUCCUUGAUUCAGCGGCGGACGGGUGAGUAAUGCCUAGGAAUCUGCCUGGUAGUGGGGGACAACGUUUCGAAAGGAACGCUAAUACCGCAUACGUCCUACGGGAGAAAGCAGGGGACCUUCGGGCCUUGCGCUAUCAGAUGAGCCUAGGUCGGAUUAGCUAGUUGGUGGGGUAAUGGCUCACCAAGGCGACGAUCAGUAACUGGUCUGAGAGGAUGAUCAGUCAACCUGGAACUGAGACACGGUCCAGACUCCUACGGGAGGCAGCAGUGGGGAAUAUUGGACAAUGGGCGAAAGCCUGAUCCAGCCAUGCCGCGUGUGUGAAGAAGGUCUUCGGAUUGUAAAGCACUUUAAGUUGGGAGGAAGGGCAGUAAGUUAAUACCUUGCUGUUUUGACGUUACCGACAGAAUAAGCACCGGCUAACUCUGUGCCAGCAGCCGCCGUAACAC
rnacentral:rRNA from 1 species